rnacentral:lncRNA from 1 species
ACAAAACAUAAUAAUCACAAUUUUUUGACACUUCAAGCUUAGAAACAUGUAAACAUCCGGUCAAGAACUUCCGGUUUCUACGCACUGAAAAAAUCCUGUACUUUACAACGUUCUUACUAACUUGGCUAUCUGUCAACCUAACCUGUAGCCCUGAGGAGCCCAGGGAACGAAGAACUAACACAUCUAUGAGCUAACAGGUACUGUGUAAAUUGUCCUUGCACUUGAAUUCUAAAUACGUGCACCCUUUAUCUGUUUGUAAAUAAAUUAUAACUUUAUUAACUUUAAGGAACCAUAUCUGACAUUCGAAAGUUGUAGUCAUGGCCUAUGUAUUAACACUUCACAUAGUCAUACUAUCAAUACUAUUCCAUAAAUUGUACAACCAACCUGUACAAAUGAACACACCAGCUGACUUAAUAGAUUAUUUUGGUAAUAUGCAUAGCAUAUCAUCAGUGUAUUUUACAAACCACAGAACUAUCACAGAUAAAUCACAUCAAAGGUACAUCAAACAAUCAAACACAUAUCUAUGUUUUCUAGUACUUGCACUAUCAGGAGACACUGAAAUAAACCCAGGCCCCAGAACACCUAGGUGGCCCUGCGGAACAUGUGGAAAAGCGGUCACAUGGAAACAAAAAGCACUCUGUUGCGAUUCAUGCGAUGUUUGGUAUCAUGCAAAUUGCACAGAGCAAUGUCAUCUAAUGUAUAUCAAUGUAUGGAUUCAUCAAAUAUAUCUUGGGCAUGCAUACAAUGUGGUAUGCCAAACUUCUCCUCAUCCAUAUUUGAUCUUACCAUACCUGAAACAUCAAACUCAUUCUCACCAUUAUCAGAACAUUCAGUAGGAAGUCCUGGCUUACCUAAAGCAACAUCGUCACCUAUAAAACAAACUUAUAUCAAGAAAGCUCAAAAGAAAGAAACACCAUUGAAAAUAUUAACAAUAAACUUUCAGUCUAUUAAAAAUAAAAAGGCUGAACUUGAUGAAAUUAUUUCAUCUGUACAACCAGAAAUAAUAUUGGGCACCGAAACCUGGCUCAGUAGCGAUAUCUUAUCAUCUGAAUUCUUUCCAGCUAAUGAUUAUACAGUUUAUAGGAAAGACCGCCCUCCAUCCAAUAAUAACCAAAGCUAUGGUGGCGUCCUCAUUGCCAUAUCAACACAAUUACUAUCAAAUGAAAUCAGAGAAUUACAAACAGACUCUGAAAGUAUAUGGGCAGAAAUAAACAUGACAAAUGCAAGAAAACUCAUACUAGGGUGUUACUAUAGACCACCUUCAGAUAAUGGCAUAUCACUUGAAAAUCUCAACAUUUCACUUAAUCGCAUCAACAAUAAUACAAAAACCACUGUGAUGCUAGGUGGCGAUUUCAACCUCGGCCACAUUGACUGGGAAGUACCAUGCAUUAUUCCCGGCAAACCAGAAAUUAAAUUGCACACACAACUCUUAGACAUCAUAAAUGACCACUCUUUAGAGCAAAUUGUAAAUAAGCCUACUAGAGGUGACCGAAUACUUGACCUCCUACUCACAAAUACACCAAGUAUAGUUAACAAGACAGAAACUAUGCCCCCUAUUGGGAAUGCGGACCACGACAUUGUCUAUUCUGAAUGCAAUGUAUCUUUAAAAAGAAACAAAAAACAACCAAUCAAAGUAUUACAAUAUACCAAAGCUGACUGGAGCAAAAUAAAAUAGAUUUAGGAACACUCUUAUGCAAAAUUAAAGAGCAAUUUAAAGAAUCAACCUCAAAUAUUCUAUGGAAUACAUUCACAGAUACUCUUACACAAUCAGUAGAAGCUAAUAUCCCUCACAAAAUAGUUACAAACAAGAAAAAACUACCAUGGGUUAACAACAAGCUUAAAAUUGAUAUCAACAAAGCAAAACGACUUCAUAAAAAGAGUAGAAAAAAUGAACAACUGAAGAAAAAGUACAAGCAUCUCAAAAAAUCAAUUCAAACAGAUAUGAGAAGAUCCUACUGGAACUACAUCGAGAACAUGAUAUUUGAUCUCCCAGUAAACGAACCAGAUAAUCCCAUAUUUAAAAGACAACCUAAAAAUUUGUACAGCUAUAUCAAAAACAUGAAAAAUGACAGUUCAGGCAUUGCAGCAUUAAGAAAAGAUGGCAUACUAACUGAUAACACCGAAGAAAAGGCCAAUUUGCUAAACAAUCAAUUUCAGAAGGCAUUCUCAACAGAAACAUCCAGUGAAACAAUACCUGACAUGGGAAUUUCUAACCAUCCAAAAAUGAACACCAUACAAAUUUCAGAAAAAGGCAUACAAAAACUACUAGGAAAGAUUAACCCACACAAGGCCACAGGGCCAGAUGGCAUAUAUGGACGUGUGCUUAAAGAACUAAGUACUGACAUCGCGCCCAUAAUAACAUUAAUAUUUGAAAAAUCCCUAAACACCGGAAAAAUUCCUACUGACUGGAAGCAUGCCAACGUCUGCCCAGUAUUCAAAAAGGGAGAUAAACACAACCCUAUCAACUACAGGCCUAUAUCCCUAACAUGCAUCCUAUGUAAGAUCAUGGAGCAUGUAUUAGCAAGUAACAUCAUGGCACAUCUAGAAAAUAACAACAUUCUAUACGAUCUACAACAUGGGUUUCGCUCCUCAAGAUCUUGCGAAACACAGUUAGUGUCAUUUAUACAAGAACUGGCAAAAUACAGCAAUGACAACAUCCAAAUUGACGUAAUUGUGAUGGACUUUGCCAAAGCAUUUGACAAAGUCCCUCACAAAAGACUACUUCAUAAACUCAAACACUAUGGUGUAGACAACCAAACAUUGAACUGGAUAGAAGACUUUCUUUCACUUCGCACACAAACGGUAUUACUGGAAGGCACCAAAUCUGAACAAAUACAUGUCACUUCAGGGGUACCUCAAGGAACAGUACUUGGUCCUAUCUUAUUCCUGGUGUACAUAAACGAUCUGAAUGAUUAUAUAAAACAUGGCACUCUUAGACUUUUUGCAGAUGAUAGCAUCAUAUACAAAACCAUUAAAAAUAAAGAUGACUCAAAAAAAUUACAAGAAGACCUAACAGCAGCUGCAAAGUGGGAAGAGGACUGGCUCAUGUCCUUCCAUCCGGACAAGUGUUCAGUCCUCCAAGUAACAACAAAGAAAACACCUCUCCCAUAUGACUACAUCUUACAUGGGCACACUUUGCAACAAGAAACAUCUACUAAAUAUCUUGGCUUAACAAUACAAACUGAUUUAAAAUUUAACAAACACAUAAAUAACAUCACAGCAAAUGCAACAAAACAACUGAAUUUUAUCAAAAGAAACCUUAAAGUCAGCUCGCAGUCUCACUUGUGAGACCAAAGCUAGAGUAUGGUAGCUGCAUCUGGGACCCACAUACAAAAUCUCAAAAAUCACAAAUAGAAAUGGUCCAAAGACGUGCAGCCAGGUAUAUAUGUAAUCGAUAUCAUAACACCAGCUCUGUGACAAACAUGCUUAACCAUCUUAACUGGCCAACACUUGAACUUAGAAGAAUAAGAACAAGGCUUAUAUUUUUCUUUAAAAUUAUACACCACCAAGUAGCAAUAUACCCCAUGAACCUGUUAAUACCAUCAGACAGUCGAACAAGACAAUACACUCACAGUCACUCAUUCAGGCACAUACAGGCAAAAAAAGACUCAUAUAAAUUUUCAUUCUAUCCUAGGACAAUCGUCCAAUGGAACCUUUUACCAGUUACUGCUGUCCAAUGCACCACAGUUGAAGCAUUCAGAGAACAGAUUCCUAUAUCUGUUCUCAACCAAUACUACACCAUGUAAUGUAACACCUUGUAAAUAGUUUUAUCUUAUAUGUACAGUGAAAAUCAAAAACAAGUUAUUAUUUCGUUAUUAAAUUUUUUUUUUUAAUGUAAAUAUAAAAUUGUAAAUUUUACCCACGCAUACACGGCACAUAGUCAUCAAUAUUAUGAUGGAGUGCGGAAACUAAAAGAAGAAGAAGACAACUGCGUCUUCAAAACAACUGUUUACUUUCAGUUUCUGUUUUUUUAAUGACUUUCGAUGUAAAAACUAGAGACGUUCCGAAAUUCUGCACUUGUGUCAACUCGGCCAAUAUAGAAUAACUCGGCCAAUACAGAAAAAAAUCUAUAUUGGCCGAGUUAUUCUGUAUUGGCCGAGUUUACACCAUAUAUUGCAUAGGCAGUUUUCAUCAUAUUAAGUCCAAUAACAGUAUAGUUAAUUAAUAAUUUAAAGUAUUUUAAAUCUCACAAAUAAACUACCUUACACCAUCGAAUAGCAUACUAACCAGUCAAUAUGUUAUGUCCAAGCUUACACACAAACUUAGUUUCAUAAGUUGCAAUAACAUGCAAACUGCUUACUUCACAUGCAAUCGUACUAUUUUAAGGCAAGAUGAAUCUCGAACAAGCUGUGUUUUAAAGCUUCAUUUACAUUUUGAAUUAACAUUUAAAGUUUUUUCACGCACAUUUAAUCACUUGUAUAUCCUAGGAAAAGUGAUUCUAAAUGUUAGCAAGCUGUUUCCAUUUGUGUCAACCAACUUUGAAUUUUGUAAUAGCACAAAAUAUAAAGAUUUGAGAAUGGUUAACUAAUUGAUUCUUUCUUGCUUAAUUUCCAAUUGCACAUGGUUGCAAUCUCAUGUUUACAAUUAAGUGGGAACAUUAAAACAUUUAAAGGUUACUUUUAUAAAAGUUUAUCUUAAUUUAUAUAAACACUAUGAAAUUGACAAUUGUAUAAAAAUUAUUGAGUGUAUUUCAUUGCAAAAGAAAUUCCAAAAUUGGCAGAGUUUACUAGUUUAUAUCUUCAAGUAGAAAAAAGAAAGAGAGAGCUCGCGAUUAGGACCAAGGAUUUGUAUAGUAUCCCUAAACAAAUCCGUGUUUUAACUUAUUGGUGUGCUUGAAAAAACUUUAAUUGAACAAAUGAACAAAAAAUUUCUUUUUCACAUAAAAGUUGAACAAUGAGAUUUAAAAAAUACAGAAAUAUUUUAACGUUUUUGAGUGCAUAUUGUUUAUAAAUUCCGAAGCAAGAAAAUAUUAAAGUGAAAUAUAUACUGCCAGAAACUGAAUUCAUUUAUCAGUGAAACACGAAAAAUAUUGAAUAAAAAAAGUCUUCAGCCCUUUAAUUUUUUUCACAACAAAAAGCUUCAAGAGAGGUCGCUUACAGUGUGACUGUCCGUGAAGUCAUCCAUGGGUAUAACCAGGACAUAUUAACAAUUAUGCAAAAGUGAGGCUCUUUUUUUGAUAAUGUAGUACUACAGAAAACUGUGUUAAUUAUCGAUAUAUUCUUUGAUCUUGAUACAUUAUUCAAUAGCUCAGAUAUUAAUUAUUAAUGACUAUUUAAAUGCAUGCUAAACACAUUUUACUACUGUAAUUUGUUCUUUUUGCAUAUUAAUGCUCUUCAUAAUUGUUUUGGUUUUUCUGUCACUGAUGUCCAAGUGCAAUGUACUGUCAUACUGCAGUAAAACGUUAACAUAAAUAAAAGUCGAUUAACCAAAGAAUGUAUUAUUUAGUAUAAAUGAUAAUGUAACGAAAGACCAAUAACUGAGUUUCAUAAUAAAUAAAAUAACGUUUAUGGUACCAAAAAAAUUGAGAAUGGAAAUGAGGAAUGUGUCUAUAAAAGAGGCACAACUCGACCAAAGAGCCAAAAAUUAUACAAUUUUCUACAAUGCAUAUCUCUUCAGGGAUGAUCGUAUGUAAAUAAACUCAUCAUAGAUACCAGGACUAAAUUUUGUAUAUACGUCAGACGCGUGUUUCGUCUGCAAAAGACUCAUCAGUGAUACCCUCGGGAAAAUAAAUCUCCACCAGCAGUGGCAUCGACCCAGUGGUAGUAAAUAAACUCAUCAUUGAUACCAAAAUAUUUAAAAAUCAAAAACCUAAUACAAACGUCGAAGUAAAUCAAAUAACUUUUAAAGCGGUGAUAAGAACUUUCCAUAUUUUACCGGUAGUUUAAGUUCAAAAGACUUCCCUUUAUUUUUUAAUCGUCUAUCUAUGGGGAACUUAUCUUUCCAUGAAUCAGUAUCUUUCUGUUGACUGAUUAAAUUGAGCCUCUUAUACUUUAUUUGGCAUUUGAAACGUUUUGGACUCGAGCGUCACUGAUGAGUCUUUUGUAGACGAAACCAGCGUCUGGUGAAAAACAAUAUUUAACCCUGGUUUCUCUAAUUUUUGCGCUAUUUUUCACAUUUCUUGAACAGUGUGAGAAAAAUAUUCUCUUCGCUAGUGAAAAAUCUGUUCUCAGCAAAUGAUUGGUCGAAAUUUAAUUGUGACGUUAAUUUUUCUAGGUUUCUUCUGAGUUUUCCUAUUGUGAAGUCAUGAAAAAAAUAUCGUAACACACUAGUUGCAUUUGUGGAAUCUAUAUAUCUAUGAUGAGUGUAUAUACAACUGUUCAAUUUAAAAAAAAAAGGGAAAACGAAAUUUAAAAAGGAUAUAAAUUAGAAAAAAUGUUGUUAAUACAAAGUAAUCCCAUACAUGUAAUCUGAAACUUAACAAAAUACUGUAAUUAAUGAUCCAUACUCUUAAAAACACUGAAUUGUUUUCCGGUUUUUAAAAUGUAUUCAUAGAAGUGAAAUACACAAAUGACAAUCCAUCCUACUGUUUUUCUCUCACUAUCAAACAGUUACUAGUUAUGUAACCGUCACUGCUAUAUAUCGUUUAAUUCAGCGUAGACAAAAACUUAACGCAAAUAACCACGGAUAUGGUCAAUUUUUUGUUACCACAAUCCCUGUCAUCUUUCCCUCCAUCACGACAUUACUUACAGAAUGAGCAUUAUCUAGUAUUUUACAUUGUCGUUUGUUUUUUGUUGCACCUCAGUGUUCUAUUGUUUGGUGUUUUCCUCUUAUAGAUUAAGUGUUUCCCUCGAUUUUAGUAUAUAACCUGCAUUUGUUACAGUGGUAUACUACUGUUGCCUUUAUCUAGUACAUUCAAUUUGUUGCUGUUAAUGCUAUUAAUCCUCGACACACAAGUAAGUUUCAUCUUCUGAACAUUUUUAUUUCUAGUGUCACAAAAUCAUUGUAUCAACUUCAUCAAAUGUCAAAAGAAUUUAGUUCUGUGUUUUCUAAAGUUAAAAUGUCAUGUCUGUAUUUAAGGCAACAUGUACAUCUUAUUCCUAAUUUCAACAGUAUAAUUGGGCAAGUGAAAAUAGUUGAGAUCCAGAAAAAAAGACUAUUAGCACGUUAUUGCAAAAAAGAAGAACCACUUAAAAUAAUAUUUUUCAUGAGUAUUCGUUACACAUCUUAAACAUCAAUUUAGAUGUCAUUUGUUUUUUUUAAAUACUUGUGCGUGUUAACAUUAAAUUCCAAUGAUGUAUUGCUUUCUUUGUCAGUUACAUAAUGUUGUUGUUGUGGUUCCUCUGUUUUGUUGCCAUGUCAGCUGGUAAACUUAUAGAUACCGAGAAAUACAAACAGUUGUUAUUAGAUGAACAUUCUGCAUACAGAAGAAAACAGGGAGCUUCUAACAUGAACCA